UACGUAGGGGGCAAGCGUUGUCCGGAAUCAUUGGGCGUAAAGAGCGCGUAGGCGGUCCGGUAAGUCGGUUGUGAAAACUCGAGGCUCAACCUCGAGACGCCGGUGGAAACUGUCGAGCUAGAGUCCGGAAGAGGCGAGUGGAAUUCCUGGUGUAGCGGUGAAAUGCGCAGAUAUCAGGAGGAACACCAAUGGCGAAGGCAGCUCGCUGGGACGGUACUGACGCUGAGACGCGAAAGCGUGGGGAGCAAACAGG
rnacentral:rRNA from 1 species